rnacentral:rRNA from 1 species
GUGGGGAAUCUUCCGCAAUGGACGAAAGUCUGACGGAGCAACGCCGCGUGAGUGAAGAAGGUUUUCGGAUCGUAAAGCUCUUUCGUUAGGGACGAACGUGCUCUUUGUGAAUAAUGAGGAGUAAUGACGGUACCUAAAUAAGAAGCCACGGCUAACUACGUGCCAGCAGCCGCGGUAAUACGUAGGUGGCAAGCGUUGUCCGGAAUUAUUGGGCGUAAAGCGCGCGCAGGCGGGAUAUCAAGUCUGUAUUAAAAGUGCGAGGCUCAACCUCGUGAGGGGACAGAAACUGGUAUUCUUGAGUGUCGGAGAGGAAAGUGGAAUUCCAAGUGUAGCGGUGAAAUGCGUAGAGAUUUGGAAGAACACCAGUGGCGAAGGCGACUUUCUGGACGAUGUCUGACGCUGAGGCGCGAAAGCUAGGGGAGCGAACGGGAUUAGAAACCCGAGUAGUCC